GAUGAAGAACGCAGCGAAAUGCGAUACUUGGUGUGAAUUGCAGAAUCCCGUGAACCAUCGAGUCUUUGAACGCAAGUUGCGCCCGAAGCCACUAGGCCGAGGGCACGCCUGCCUGGGCGUCACACGCCGUUGCCCCCCCAUCUACUCCUUCGGGAUUGCGGGGGGGCGGAUGAUGGCCUCCCGUGCGCCUAGCCGCGCGGUUGGCAUAAAUACCAAGUCCUCGGCGACGCACGCCACGACAAUCGGUGGUUGCGAAACCUCGGUUGCCCGUCGUGUGCGGUCGUCGCACAUCGAGGGCUCGAAAAAAUUGCCGGGCUCCGGCUCGGCUUUCAACGCGACCCCAGGUCAGGCGGGGUUACCCGCUGAAUUUAAGCAUAUCAAUAAGCGGAGGA
rnacentral:misc_RNA from 1 species